rnacentral:rRNA from 1 species
CCUACGGGGGGCAGCAGUGGGGAAUAUUGGACAAUGGGGGGAACCCUGAUCCAGCCAUGCCGCGUGUGUGAAGAAGGCCCUCGGGUUGUAAAGCACUUUCAGUGAGGAAGAACGCCUGGUGGUUAAUACCCAUCAGGAAAGACAUCACUCACAGAAGAAGCACCGGCUAACUCCGUGCCAGCAGCCGCGGUAAUACGGAGGGUGCGAGCGUUAAUCGGAAUUACUGGGCGUAAAGCGCGCGUAGGUGGCUUGAUAAGCCGGUUGUGAAAGCCCCGGGCUCAACCUGGGAACGGCAUCCGGAACUGUCAAGCUAGAGUGCAGGAGAGGAAAGUAGAAUUCCCGGUGUAGCGGUGAAAUGCGUAGAGAUCGGGAGGAAUACCAGUGGCGAAGGCGGCCUUCUGGACUGACACUGACACUGAGGUGCGAAAGCGUGGGUAGCAAACAGGAUUAGAUACCCCAGUAGUC